rnacentral:lncRNA from 1 species
GUGAAACCCCAUCUCUACUAAAAUACAGAAAAUCAGCUGGGCAUGGUGGCAGGCGCCUGUAAUCCCAGCUACUCAGGAGGCUGAGGCUGGGAGUAUCACUUGAACCCGGGAGGCGGAGGUUGCAGUGAGCCAAGGUUGUGCCAUUGCACUCCAGCCUAGGCAACAAGAGCUAAACUCCAUCUCAAAAAAAAAAAAUAAAUAAAAUAAAAGAUAUGGGUAAGGUGCUUAACCUUGAUUUCCUGACUAAUUCAUUCAUGUAGUAGCUGCCAACUUCCUUGGUACAAGGGCUAUGAUGCAACCCUCAUAAUUGCUGGUGGGAAUGUAAAAUGGUGCAGCCUCUGUGGAAAACAGUCUGGCAGUUCCUCAAAAGGUUAAACAUAGAGUUACCAGCAGUACAUG